rnacentral:rRNA from 1 species
AGAGUUUGAUCCUGGCUCAGGAUGAACGCUGGCGGCGUGCCCAAUACAUGCAAGUCGAACGAGGGCACUCACGUAGCAAUACGAGGGUGUUCCUAGUGGCGAACGGGUGAGUAACACGUUGGUGACCUGCCCCGAAGUGAGGGAUAACACCGCGAAAGUGGUGCUAAUACCCCAUGUGACCCGAGGGAUUAGAUGCCCUUGGUGGAAAGGCGAAAGCGCUUCGGGAGGGGCCUGCGGCCCAUCAGCUAGUUGGCAGGGUAAUGGCCUACCAAGGCGACGACGGGUAGGGGUCCUGAGAGGGUGGCCCCCACACUGGCACUGAAACACGGGCCAGACACCUACGGGUGGCAGCAGUAGGGAAUAUUGGACAAUGGGCGAAAGCCUGAUCCAGCAACGCCGCGUGCGCGAUGACGGCCUUCGGGUUGUAAAGCGCUUUUCGGGGGGAUGAGGAAGGACAGUACCCCCGGAAUAAGUCUCGGCUAACUACGUGCCAGCAGCCGCGGUAAAACGUAGGAGGCAAGCGUUAUCCGGAUUUACUGGGCGUAAAGCGCGUGCAGGCGGUCAAGUAAGUCGGACGUGAAAGCUCCCGGCUCAACUGGGAGAAGCCGUUCGAUACUACUCGACUUGAGGGCAGUAGAGGAAGGUGGAAUUCCGGGUGUAGCGGUGAAAUGCGUAGAUAUCCGGAGGAACACCUGUGGCGAAAGCGGCCUUCUGGACUGCUCCUGACGCUCAGACGCGAAAGCUAGGGGAGCGAACGGGAUUAGAAACCCCGGUAGUCCUAGCUGUAAACGAUGCGGACUUGGUGUUGGUGGCUUAAUCUCCACCAGUGCCGGUAGCUAACGCGUUAAGUCCGCCGCCUGGGGACUACGGCCGCAAGGUUAAAACUCAAAGGAAUUGACGGGGGCCCGCACAAGCAGCGGAGCGUGUGGUUUAAUUCGAGCUACGCGAAGAACCUUACCAGGGCUUGACAUGCACGUAGUAGGGAUCCGAAAGGUGACCGGACCUUCGGGGAGCGUGCACAGGUGCUGCAUGGCUGUCGUCAGCUCGUGUCGUGAGAUGUCCGGUUAAGUCCGGUAACGAGCGCAACCCUCGCGACGUAUUACAUGUGUCACGUCGGACCGCCGGUAUCAAACCGGAGGAAGGUGGGGAUGACGUCAAGUCAGCAUGGCCUUUAUGUCCUGGGCUACACACACGCUACAAUGGCCGGUACAAUGGGUCGCAAAGCCGCGAGGCGGAGCCAAUCCUAAAAAGCCGGUCUCAGUUCGGAUCGCAGGCUGCAACCCGCCUGCGUGAAGUCGGAGUUGCUAGUAACCGCAGGACAGCUAUACUGCGGUGAAUACGUUCCCGGGCCUUGUACACACCGCCCGUCACGUCAUGGGAGCUGGCAACACCUGAAAUCGGUGACCCAACCGCAAGGAGGGAGCCGCCUAAGGUGGGGCUGGUGACUGGGACGAAGUCGUAACAAGGUAGCUGUACCGGAAGGUGCGGCUGGAUCACCU